rnacentral:rRNA from 1 species
AUUGAACGCUGGCGGCAGGCUUAACACAUGCGAGUCGAGCGGGGUGAUGGUGCUUGCACUAUCACUUAGCGGCGGACGGGUGAGUAAUGCUUAGGAAUCUGCCUAUUAGUGGGGGACAACAUUUCGAAAGGAAUGCUAAUACCGCAUACGUCCUACGGGAGAAAGCAGGGGAUCUUCGGACCUUGCGCUAAUAGAUGAGCCUAAGUCGGAUUAGCUAGUUGGUGGGGUAAAGGCCUACCAAGGCGACGAUCUGUAGCGGGUCUGAGAGGAUGAUCCGCCAAACUGGGACUGAGACACGGGCCAGACUCCUACGGGAGGCAGCAGUGGGGAAUAUUGGACAAUGGGCGGAAGCCUGAUCCAGCCAUGCCGCGUGUGUGAAGAAGGCCUUAUGGUUGUAAAGCACUUUAAGGGAGGAGGAGGCUACUUUAGUUAAUACCUAGAGAUAGUGGACGUUACUCGCAGAAUAAGCACCGGCUAACUCUGUGCCAGCCGCCGCGGUAACAC